rnacentral:rRNA from 1 species
GACGAACGCUGGCGGCGUGCCUAACACAUGCAAGUCGAACGGGGUCCAUGGGAGCUUGCUCCCGGAAGACCUAGUGGCGAACGGGUGAGUAACACGUGAGAAACCUGCCCUGGAGUGGGGAAUAACUCGGGGAAACUCGAGCUAAUACCGCAUACCCUCGGAUGGUCGCAUGGCCGACCGAGGAAAGAUUUAUCGCUUCAGGAGGGUCUCGCGGCCUAUCAGCUAGUUGGUGGGGUAACGGCCUACCAAGGCAACGACGGGUAGCUGGUUUGAGAGAACGAUCAGCCACACUGGGACUGAGACACGGCCCAGACUCCUACGGGAGGCAGCAGUGGGGAAUCUUGCGCAAUGGGCGAAAGCCUGACGCAGCAACGCCGCGUGCGGGAUGACGGCCUC